ensembl:lncRNA
CACCUGUCACGCACCCCUUUAUUAAAGGGGUGCGUGGGUUUGGUUUACAUUUCGCAUCGGCCUGUGUCAAUCGAGGUUGAGUUUAGUGAGGGUUGAAAGUUUUCGAUCUAGAUUGCAGAUCACUAUUGUCACUUUAUACAAACUGAAAGUAUGCGUUGUUGCGUGUUUGUUUUUGUGGGCAUUUGACUGAACAGCCCAGACAAAUAUUGCUACCAACAUGGCACUUCGAAACAGACCACCGCAGUGUUAGAUGACUGACGAGAUCUAUGGGGGGGCCCCCUUUGGGCCCCCCCAUACCAACUUAGUCUUCAAAGGAAUCUAGUGCCAUGGGACUCCAGUGUCUUCAAAACAUCCUCGGAAUACAUGUGUAUGAAUGGUCCACCGAAGGGUUGAUCUGGAAGCCACCACGGUCCACGCAGUAAUCACACACAGUUGCCCUUCAAUGUAGCAGGCUACGGGUUUCUGAAGAGGCCUGCUUUACGUAGCAUUGGAGUACAAAUAUUGUGCAAAAUGCUCAUGUAAUUGCACUAGCACUGGUAACCUGUAGAUUAGCUUAGUUUAACGUCAUUCGGUGCUGUCUGUCAAAUGUGUGGCUUACUUUAAGUCCACAAGGCCCUCUGGCAAACCACGUUGGAACACCCCUGGACAAGGUGAUUAGUCACUGGGUGUGUGCUAAAGUUUUGUUCCAUUUUUUCACUAGUUGGUUAAGGUUUGGUAGAAUUGUUCGGAUGCUAGCGACGUGAUGGCGUAUGUACAAGAGCCUACCGUGGCCAGGCCACAGUUGCGACGGCCACGGCCAGAUGGCCUAGUGUGAGUGCAACCUUGAUUGCAUUUGUAUACUGUUUACCAUUGGAUGUUUAUGCAAUUUGGCUUAAUUCAUCCGCUGUAAAGCUGCAUUUGACUAUUCCAGGGUCGUUUUGUACAGGCUUUCAAUUGACUAGUUUGCGGGAAGUUUUUUUUUUUUUUUUUUUUACCCUUGCUUACAAUCCAACGGUUGCGACCACUUAUGCAACUGGGCUGUGAACCUUGCAUUUCUAGUUGCAUAUUUGUACACGCAAGCUUGUCCAUUUCUAUCGCCAUCACUAACACUAGCUUCAGCAUUUCCUUGUAGGCCAUUAGCUGACUUCUGCAUUGGAGCGAUGAUUUGGGUAUUUUAAGAUGCUUGAAAACCUAAAAUAAAGCAAAAUGCGGCUUGUGGUAGAUCUGCCAUCCAAGAAAGGUUAAUUCUUCUGAAGCAUGAUUAAUAGUUUAGUAAAUUGAAUCUAUUCAUAUAGAACUAUAAAAUCCAAGACUGCAGCCAGUAACUUGGAUCGCAAUAUGUGGAAAGUAUUGGUCUUCAUUUGUAACAGAAUAAUUAACAUGACUAACUGGGUUUCUUCCAUUUUCUAACUAGGGGGGACUUGACUGGUGAGUCUACUGGAUUAAUCAGUAGCGGUACUUUGCCCAACAGAUUUGAUGGCAUGACUACAGGGUGACAAAGACAAUUAUUCCCUGCCUAUCAAAAGAGACUUCUAAAACAUAUCUGCUAGAACAGUUCCUAUACUUUUUGUAUAAUUUGGUCAUGCUGCAAAUUUACUUUUUGUAGUUGCUCCAUAUUUAGUUCUUUGACAGCCUCACCUGCUAGAAAAGUCUAUUCAAAUCGGCUAAAUAUAAUGAACUAAAUUAACAGCCAUGAAAUGUUGUCACUCAUACUAAUGGCAAAUGCCCCCUUUCAGUUGAUGGUUCAACACUGAUGUCUCUCUAGGCUUGAGGGAGAGCUCACAAGUAAAUUACACGAAUGUCCUGGAGCAAUUGGGAAUACACUUUUAUUUAGUCUACCUGACCAGGGACAUCUUUGAACUAUAGGUCACCUAACCCAAACUUUUCACUCUUGUUAGGUUGUCCUUUUCUCUUGUUUUAACCCGACAGGGCUGAAAAUAUCAACAUUUCAGGUAUUCUGUUUGGAUAAUGUGCAAAACUUGUGGCUUCACUAAUAAAAAAAACUAAUGAAUGUAUUUUUCUUAAUGUGGUUAAACUAUUUAAAGAUUUGUAUGCAAAAUAUUUCUGCUCAAUUUGUGGUCAAUGAAACUCAAAUUUUUUAAUUUGAUAAAACUAUGGGUUAAAGGUAUUUGCUUUGGGCAUCUUUUGAUAUUUUUAGAAUCUAGCUCCAUUGCCGUUAGAAAUGGUGUCUCCCAGUACUGCAAAGUGCUUCCACAAGUUUAAAAAAGAAUGGGCAGAAAAGGAACUGCCAACUAAAUCUAUUUAACAUGGGUAGAAAGUUUCCAUUGAAGCUCUUGGCUGCUGGUUCUCAACACAGCUCCACUGUUAGCCUGUGACCUUGCGUUUACCUUUUGGUGACUUUCACAAAAGAGAAAUGAACUGGUUAAUACAAUAAACAAGACAUUUGAAACUUCAGCUACAUUAUCUAUUUGUACUGCCUUUGAUUUCAACCCGUGACAUGUUUGUCAGGUGAUAACUAUGUACCUGUGACCGCAUAUCAUGGUACCAUUUUGAACUGUUUGUGGAUAUUGCAUUAAAUCCAUAUGCUUGAAACUUUUCAAUAAUGCACAUCAACGAAACAAUGGAAUGAAAUAUAUAGUUCAAGCAAUUUGUGGG